rnacentral:rRNA from 1 species
UACGGGGGGAGCAAGCGUUGUUCGGAUUUACUGGGCGUAAAGGGCGCGUAGGCGGCCAGCACAAGUCAGUUGUGAAAUCUCCGGGCUUAACUCGGAAAGGUCAACUGAUACUGUGCGGCUAGAGUGCAGAAGGGGCAACUGGAAUUCUCGGUGUAGCGGUGAAAUGCGUAGAUAUCGAGAGGAACACCUGCGGCGAAGGCGGGUCUCUGGACAGUUCCUGACGCUGAGGCACGAAGGUCAGGGGAGCAAACGGG